rnacentral:rRNA from 1 species
CUACGGGAGGCAGCAGUGAGGAAUAUUGGACAAUGGGCGAAAGCCUGAUCCAGCCAUGCCGCGUGUGUGAUGAAGGCCCUAGGGUUGUAAAGCACUUUCGACGGGGAUGAUAAUGACCGUACCCGUAGAAGAAGCCACGGCUAAAUUCGUGCCAGCAGCCGCGGUAAUACGAAUGUGGCAAGCGUUGUUCGGAAUCACUGGGCGUAAAGAAUGCGUAGGCGGCUUGACAAGUCAGGAGUGAAAUCCCAGGGCUCAACCUUGGAACUGCUUUUGAAACUGUUAGGCUAGCGUCCCGGAGGGGUUGACGGAAUUCCGAGUGUAGAGGUGAAAUUCGCAGAUAUUCGGAGGAACACCAGUGGCGUAAGCGGUCAACUGGACGGGUACAGACGCUGAGGCAUGAAAGUGUGGGGAGCAAACAGGAUUAGAAACCCUGGUAGUCC